rnacentral:rRNA from 1 species
CUCUUGUAAGGUGAAGCCUGCCCAAUGACUGCCAAUAAUCUAAUAAAAAUCAGUUCAAUGGCCGCGGUAACUCUGACCGUGAUAAAGUAGCAUAAUCACUUGUCACUUAAUUGGUGACUGGAAUGAAUGGCUAAACGAAUCCUCCUCUGUCUCUGAAGAAAUCCUGGCAAAUUUGAAAUAGCAGUGAAGAUGCUGCUAAAUAAUUGUAAGACGAAAAGACCCUAUCGAGCUUUACUGGAAUCUUGCAAAGUAACAUAGUUAUUAAAGACAAAAUUAUACAAAUUGCAAGCCCGACAGUUUGGUUGGGGCGACCACCCCUAAAAACGUAUCAGGGGAACUCUAAAGGCUGUCAUAAUAUGAAAAACCGCCUUACUGGAGACAAACAAGUCAAUCAGUUAUAAUUUAUAGGACAUAUUGACCCGUUAUUUAGCUUCACAACAAAUAACGACUAUGAAAAAAGUUACCGUAGGGAUAACAGGGUAAUAUUUUCAGAGAGUUCAUAUCGAUGAAAAUGUUUGCCA